rnacentral:ribozyme from 1 species
CGAUGCUUGUAGUGUUCAUGCUUUUGAGUCACCAAAUAAUGAUGAGUACUUUUCUUUGUUUGACGAUGCA